rnacentral:rRNA from 1 species
GCUUGUCUCAAAGAUUAAGCCAUGCAUGUCUAAGUAUAAACAAAUUUAUAGUGAAACUGCGAAUGGCUCAUUAUAUCAGUUAUAGUUUAUUUGGCGAUAAAAACUACUUGGAUAACCGUGGUAAUUCUAGUGCUAAUACAUGCAACGAUCCCCGACUUUUGAAGGGGAGUAUUUAUUAGAUUAAAAAACCAAUCGUAGCGAUACGUUUUUUGGUGAAUCAUGAUAACUUUUCGAAUCGCACGACAUUGUUGGCGAUGGUUCAAUCAAAUUUCUGCCCUAUCACCUUUCGAUGGUAGUAUAGAGGACUACCAUGGGUAUAACGGGUAACGGAGAAUUAGGGUUCGAUUCCGGAGAGGGAGCCUGAGAAACGGCUACCACAUCCAAGGAAGGCAGCAGG